rnacentral:rRNA from 1 species
UGGGGAAUUUUCCACAAUGGGCGAAAGCCUGAUGGAGCAAUACCGCGUGAGGGAUGAAGGAUCGUGGUCUGUAAACCUCUUUUCUUAAGGAAGAAUAAAUGACGGUACUUAAGGAAUAAGCACCGGCUAACUCCGUGCCAGCAGCCGCGGUAAUACGGGGGGUGCAAGCGUUGUCCGGAAUGAUUGGGCGUAAAGCAUCUGUAGGUGGUUUUUAAAGUCAACUGUUAAAGCCCAGGGCUUAACUUUGGAAAAGCGGUUGAGCACUUAAGGACUCGAGUAUGGUAGGGGUAGAGGGAAUUCCUUGUGGAGCGGUGAAAUGCACAGAGAUAAGGAAGAACACCGAAGGCGAAAGCACUCUACUGGGCCAUGACUGACACUGAGAGAUGAAAGUCGGGGGAGCGAAAAGGAUUAGAUACCCUUGUAGUCCCGACUGUAAACGAUGGAUACUAAGUGCUGACAAAAUCAGUGCUGUAGCUAACGCGUUAAGUAUCCCGCCUGGGGAGUAUGCUCGCAAGAGUG